GUCCUUGGGUACAAAUGGUUAAUGCGUUUGGCUGGUAACCAAAUGGCUGGAGGUUCUAGUCCACCCAGGGGUG
rnacentral:tRNA from 1 species